AGUAACAGCAGUUUUUAAUUUCCAGGCAGUCAGUGAGUGAUGAUAAACUCCAUCAGCUGGUGCUCACUGCUUUUCCCCACACUUCCCUUCGGUAUGCCGGUGUCACUCUUAGCUGUGUUGGCUUGAUUUUUCAACAGCUGGUGCCAGCUUUUUCACCAAAACCACCUGAGCAACGCUGUGGUUUUUGUAGUGCAGGGACUGAGUCAGCUACACAUUUCCUGGUUCUAUUUGGAGUUUGGAUUUCUCUGAAAGGCAUUCAGACAUAAAUUCCGCUUGCCUUUUCCAUCAUCUGAUUUUCUAGCUGAUAUCAUUGGGCUGCAGAAGAAACGAACAACUGGGGAUCUGUCCAAGAAAAUCACAGGUUUUCCUGAGUGUGCAAACUUUGUACCUACCAAAUGUAAUGGUUCUGUAACAGACAAAAGUCGGUCCUCUCUUUGGACUUGACUGUGAAAUGGCUGCACAGGCUGCACUCCCACCAGCAGCGCAGAGGGCUCUCUUUCGCCGCCUCCUCACCGGCACUGGCUUGUGGAUUUGAUGAUGGUCGCCACUCUGACCGUUGUGAGGGGAUAUCUCAUCGUGGUCUUAAUUUGCAUCUCUCUGAUUAAUGACGGUAUCUUAUAUGUGUGUUAACCAUCUGUAUAUUCUCCUUGGAGAAUUGUCUAUUCCUGUCUUUCGCCCAUUUUUAAAUUGGAUUGUUUAUUUUGGUGAUGUUUUAUAAUUUUAUAAAUUUUGGCUAUUAAUCCCUUAUCAGAUAUAUCAUUGAUGCAUAUGUUCUCCCAUUGUGGGUUGACUUUUCAUUUUGUGGAUGAUUUCCUUUGCUGAGUAAGAACUCUUUAGUUUGAUGCGUGCAUUCCUGCCAGAAGCACAGCGCACCUCUAGACCAGGCUGCCCA